CGCAGUUCAGCAUUGAUGAGGUGGACGUCCAUUGAAAUGUCCCAUGCUGAGGUCAGUGUUGCAGGCUGCAUAGGUAUGUAAGUGGGGCCAGUGGCUGCAUUCUUCGCCCUUCCGAUAUAGUAGAGCAGGGCCUGCUUGUGUGGAGGUUUGUUGAUUUCUUCAGUACCCUAACGCGCCAUCUAUUUCCUGCAUGGUCCGGAUGUGGAGGCCUCCACUGUCAUGGCUUACCUUAGUUGGAAUCCGAAGUGCAGAGAUGUAUGCUCACCCUUACAG